rnacentral:rRNA from 1 species
AUGGCGGACCGAGCGGAGUCGUCGUCGUCGAGCGAGACAGGGAAGAACCUCGAGGAACUUCUGCAGCACCUGGAUCUCGAGGAUGACGAACUUGAUGAUGUGGUCGUAGGGAAGGAGGAGGUAAAAAAGUUUGAAGCAGAUGCCAGGUGGCUGGCGAUCGGGAAAGUGAACACUACUCGCAUCUUCAGUUCAUCAACGAUCUUUGAGUGCAUGAAAUCCAUCUGGUCGUUGGCGCACGUGCCAAAGUACAGAGAGGCAGGAGAAAAUCUGUUUAUCUUCUAGAUGUUCUGUCUGGGGGAUUGGAAGAAGGUAGUGCACGGAGGGCCAUGGCUUUUUAGGGGGAUGGGGAUGCUGAUCGAGGAUUACAAUGGGAAGAAGGAACCAACAUCUUUUGAUUUUGAUGGAUUAUACAUGUGGGCUCAGAUCCAUAACAUACCAGAACUCUACCACAAAGCGGAGGUUGUUGAUCAACUCGCCCGCCGCAUUGGAAGGGUGAAAGAAGUCCAACUUGCUCCUCGUUUGUAUUAUGAGGGAGAUUAUGUUAGGGUUCGAGCUAGGGUACUUGUCAGCAAACCUCUCACACAGGUUACGCCUCUGAAUGUUGUAGGAGAGGGAAGACUCCGCCUCCCGGUGAAGUAUGAGAAGAUCCCCUAUUUCUGCAAGGUUUGUGGCUUCAUGGGUCACAACCAUGAGGAGUGCGGUGAUGGUGUUUGGGAGGAGAAGGAUAAGCAGUGGGGCAGCUGGAUGUUGGCACAAAGAAGGGAGGUUGCGCCAGAGUAG